UACGUAGGUGGCAAGCGUUGUCCGGAUUUAUUGGGUUUAAAGGGUGCGUAGGCGGCCCUAUAAGUCAGUGGUGAAAUAUCGCAGCUUAACUGUGAGGGUGCCAUUGAUACUGUAGGGCUUGAGUGAAUUUGAGGUAGGCGGAAUUGACGGUGUAGCGGUGAAAUGCUUAGAUAUCGUCAAGAACACCGAUAGUGAAGACAGCUUACCAAGCUUCAACUGACGCUGAGGCACGAAAGCGUGGGGAGCAAACAGG
rnacentral:rRNA from 1 species